rnacentral:tRNA from 397 species
CGCGGGGUGGAGCAGCUCGGUAGCUCGCUGGGCUCAUAACCCAGAGGUCGCAGGUUCAAAUCCUGUCCCCGCUAC